rnacentral:rRNA from 1 species
UACGUAGGGUGCAAGCGUUAAUCGGAAUUACUGGGCGUAAAGCGUGCGCAGGUGGCUUUGCAAGACAGAUGUGAAAUCCCCGGGCUUAACCUGGGAACUGCAUUUGUGACUGCAUGGCUAGAGUGUGGCAGAGGGGGAUGGAAUUCCGCGUGUAGCAGUGAAAUGCGUAGAUAUGCGGAGGAACACCGAUGGCGAAGGCAAUCCCCUGGGCCUGCACUGACACUCAUGCACGAAAGCGUGGGGAGCAAACAGG